rnacentral:rRNA from 1 species
GUAUAAGCGACUAUACUGUGAAACUGCGAAUGGCUCAUUAAAUCAGUUAUGGUUUAUUUGAUGGUACCUACUACUUGGAUAACCGUAGUAAUUCUAGAGCUAAUACAUGCAGGAGAACCCGACUUCGGAAGGGUUGUAUUUAUUAGAUAAGAAACCAAUCCAGCUUGCUGGUUGCGUGCCGAGUCACAAUAACUGCUCGAAUCGCACGACUUUACGUCGGCGAUGGUUCAUUCAAAUUUCUGCCCUAUCAGCUUUCGAUGGUAGGAUCGAGGCCUACCAUGGCGUUUACGGGUAACGGAGAAUUAGGGUUCGAUUCCGGAGAGGGAGCCUGAGAAAUGGCUACCACAUCCAAGGAAGGCAGCAGGCGCGUAAAUUGCCCGAAUCCUGACACAGGGAGGUAGUGACAAGAAAUAACGAUACAGGGCUACAUCUAGUCUUGUAAUUGGAAUGAGUACAAUUUACAUCUCUUAACGAUGAUCAAUU